CCAAUAGCGUAUAUUAAAGUUGUUGCAGUUAAAAAGCUCGUAGUUGAAUUUCGGGGUCUGUCCGUCGGUCGGGCUUCACGGUCCGUACUGGUGUGAUGGGUUCCUACCUUCUGAAUAACCGGCAUGCCAUUCAGUUGGUGCGCCGGGGAAGCAGAGCUAUUACCUUGAAAAAAUUAGAGUGCUUAAAGCAGGCUAGUGCUUGAAUAGAUUAGCAUGGAAUAAUAAAAUAGGACGGCAUGGUUCUAUUUUGUUGGUUUCUAGGAUCACCGUAAUGAUUAAUAGGGAUAGUUGGGGGAAUUAGUAUUCAAUUGUCAGAGGUGAAAUUCUUGGAUUUAUUGAAGACUAACUUCUGCGAAAGCAUUUGCCAAGGAUGUUUUCAUUAAUCAAGAACGAAAGUUAGGGGAUCGAAGACGAUCAGAUACCGUCGUAGUCUUAACCAUAAACUAUGCCGACUAGGGAUCGGACGAUGUUAAUUUUUUAAUGACUCGUUCGGCGCCUUACG
rnacentral:rRNA from 1 species